UGGGGAAUUUUGGACAAUGGGCGCAAGCCUGAUCCAGCCAUGCCGCGUGUCUGAAGAAGGCCUUCGGGUUGUAAAGGACUUUUGUCAGGGAAGAAAAGGGCGGGGUUAAUACCCCUGUCUGAUGACGGUACCUGAAGAAUAAGCACCGGCUAACUACGUGCCAGCAGCCGCGGUAAUACGUAGGGUGCGAGCGUUAAUCGGAAUUACUGGGCGUAAAGCGGGCGCAGACGGUUACUUAAGCAGGAUGUGAAAUCCCCGGGCUCAACCUGGGAACUGCGUUCUGAACUGGGUGACUAGAGUGUGUCAGAGGGAGGCAGAAUCCCACGUGUAGCAGUGAAUUGCGUAGAGAUGUGGAGGAAUACCGAUGGCGAAGGCAGCCUCCUGGGAUAACACUGACGUUCAUGCCCGAAAGCGUGGGUAGCAAACA
rnacentral:rRNA from 1 species